rnacentral:rRNA from 1 species
UACGAAGGGGGGCUAGCGUUGCUCGGAAUCACUGGGCGUAAAGGGUGCGUAGGCGGGUCUUUAAGUCAGGGGUGAAAUCCUGGAGCUCAACUCCAGAACUGCCUUUGAUACUGAGGAUCUUGAGUCCGGGAGAGGUGAGUGGAACUGCGAGUGUAGAGGUGAAAUUCGUAGAUAUUGGGAAGAACACCGGUGGCGAAGGCGACCAACUGGUCCGACAUUGACACUGAGGCACGAAAGCGUGGGUAGCAAACAGG